GCAUCUCAUGCUUAAUAUAUAUGCACAACUGAAUGUCAGAUUCCCAUCAUCCCACUUGUUUCUUGAUAUCAUUCUACUUCAAUAAUAAAAAUUCCAUCCUAUUGUCUACUCAAGCUUCAAAACUAGAGUUGCAGUUAAAUCAUCUUUUAUUUUCACAUACCACACAUAAUCUACCAGAGUUCCACCACCACUAACAGCAACCUGACCUACACCACUUCUUUGGAUUACUGCAGGGGCCUAUUCAUUCACCUGUGUUCUCUCUUACCUGCUUACAGUUGGUUUCCCCUAACACACUCAGCACUUCUUUUAAAAUGUAAAGUCAAAUCACCUGUUUACUCAAACUUUUCCAACCACUUCCCCUGUCACUUAAAAUAAGAGACAGAGUCCCUCUAGCAGCCUCUACAUGAUCUGACUGCUUUACCUCUCUGACUUCAUUCCUUGCUACUGCCACCUACAUCCCACACUCCAUUCCUGCCCCAGCUUCCUGUAUGUCAUGCCAGAAUCACUCCCACCUCAGAGCGUCUGCACCCUUGGCCUUCACCACUCUUUACCCAAAUAUUCACCCAACUACUUUUCAUCUUAAUUCCAGUGUCAUCUUUUCCACAAGGUUUCCUCCAUCUACACAAUUUAAAUUGCAAUUCCCAUUUCUGCACUUCCUAUUCU
rnacentral:lncRNA from 1 species